CCCCUAGACGUUCUGGGCUGCACGCGCGCUACAAUAAUACGCACAGCGAGUAUCACCGAGCUCGAAAGGGCAAGGUAAACAAUAGAAAAGGUACUGUAAUGGUUAUAGAUCCUUGUAAUUAUUGAUCUUCAACGAGGAAUUCCUAGUAAGUAUGUGUCAUCAUCACGCACUGUUUACGUCCCUGCCCUUUGUACACACCGCCCGUCGCUCCUACCGAUUGGGUGAGCCGAUGAAACUCUCGGAUGUAGGCUAUUCAUAGCCCGCAGAAGAGAUUUGAAUCGUAGCGCUUAGAGGAAGGAGAAGUCGUAACA
rnacentral:rRNA from 1 species